AGUCCUGCAUAUGUAGGCUACACUAGAGCCAUAGAGAUUGCUAUAGAGAUAAUGUAUACACUGUCGGCGGCCAUCUUGUAACACAGUUUAUCGGAUAGACGAUUCAAGUGAAUAGACCUCUGAAUUUUGCCUUCAGAGAAAGCUGAGAUCCGGUAGCCUAUCUUGCAAUUUUUGCUAUGGGAAAAUAACAUGGGGAGAGAAUUAUUGCACUCUCCUGGGGACGAAGAAGUCUGAAAUGCAGACAUUUUGCUCAACACCUUUGUCCUCUGCCUUCGAGUGGUAGGCUAACUGUGAUCUUUCGGUAGGCCUACGUUAAGACAGCAACUUAGAUUUUUGCUACCCCAGACCUAACUUGCAAUGUAACUUGUCAUAGGUAGUUAGGUUAAAUUAACACCCUGAUCUCCUUAUAGGCAAAGAUGGCAGUUUUGGUUCCUUUUUGUAGUCGAACUUCAGAGGUCUGUUGGGAAGCAUACAGAAAGGGGCGGAAUGUGUGUAGUAGGCUAUACACAGCUGCCAUACUGGCUUUACAAACUAAGCCCAUGCAUUUCUAUGGAUGCUGUGUCUCCCCAUUAGAAAUUCUCUGGGCUACAAUACAAAAACCAAGUCAAAAGCUGGGCCAAAUAUCCAGUCAAGAAAAUCUGGUUGUGUACAGAUUCAUACACCAAAGCUAUGGAAAAAUGUCAGCGGCUGAUGGACACUUCUUGCAUUGAGGCGGAAGAAGAUGCGAGCGUCCGCAAAAGGCAGUGCAGGGUCAUGUGAUGAUGACUCCGUUCCGCAAGCAAGAAAGCAUUCCAGGAUGGUGCGUGUGCCUGGAAGCCCUGUCUCACAAGUGACUCAUCACACAGAGGGAGGUGGCUUGGCCAUGGAGACGGAAAUAAGAUUUAAGAAGACUCACUUAAUUUGUUCACAUAUGCAAGUAUAUAAUGCAUUUAACAACUAAAACUAACACCAUCCAUUUUUCCAUAGCAAUAAGGACAACCAUUACCGCAUGGCACAGCGAAUGGAUGCAUUUGAGGAGAAGAUGGAUGAGCUGCUCAUGCUCUUAAGGAGCUCCCAGUCAUCUCCCUUUGCUCCAGUCGAUGACAUAUUGCCGUCGUCCUGCUCGACAGUCACUGAGCUGCAGGAGAGGAGGAACAAAAUGCCCUCCCUCCAGGACUUGUACUCUGGGACCUAAGCGGGCAGAGACCAUCACCAAAGACUCCACAUAUCCUGCACACACACUCUUUAACUUCCUCCCCUCUGGCAGGCGCUACAGAUCCCUGCACACAAAAACAACUCUUUUCCCACUGCCAUCACUCUCCGGAACUGCAGAUAAGUGGGGUCAUCCCCACUUUGACCAUUCACCUGCACAUUACAUACUUUAUCAUUCCAAUAUGUGUCUUGCACACUACAUUUGCACUAUUACUUUGCACUCUACAUCACACUCCAUGUGUACUUAUAUUGGUAUUAUGUCUUAUUUCUAUAGUUGUUUUGUAUAUUGUGUUGGUAUCUGCCACAAUGUAUAUUGUUGUCUCUAUUGUACAGUAUGUCUGUCUAUUUGUUGAAUGUAUAGAGCACCUAACAAAGUCAAAUUCCUUGUGUUAGUAUACUUGGGUAACAUGGAGUCUGAUGUUUAUA